rnacentral:lncRNA from 1 species
GUAGGACUACCAUCAACUAAAAAAGAUAAAGAGGCCGUGCUUAUACACAUCAUAAUAAUCCUCACCCACUCAUUGCAAAAAUUAAAAUCUACUAAGGUUUCUUCUAUCGCCUUCCAACUGCAUGUGUCAAAUGCUUUCGCUAGGUCCACUUUUAUGCAUGCGUUGGCUCCACCAUUUGCUCUCCCAAAUUUAGACACCAUCUCCGUUGCAAGUAGAUAAUUGUCUCCUAUGAGCCGUCCU